UCACAAUGGUCAACAGCAGCGAAGGCAGCACUUUCUGAUUUUAAACUUGACUGCUAUGGAUGCCACCUCAGUUUAAUAUCUAACCCUUCAGGGAGCUCCACUGCCUGUAAGGAAAAGUCCACAUCUGGGCACUUGGGUCUCCACGAGCUACUGCCUGCUUAUGGCUCCAGUCUUACCUCUCACUGCUUCCUGCAUUAAACGUUUGCCCUAAACAUUGAACUGGGUUCAUUGUUGCAUAUUCCCCCUCACCCCCAAAUCAGACUUUGCUCAUUCCCAGGAUACCUUUCAACUUCCCCCACCUCCCCACCUGCCUAACACCACCACUCACUAACAAGGAGCUGUGCUCCGAAGCUUGUGGACAGCUGUGUCAUGGAGGAGCUGCCGUGCUCUGUCCAGAGGGCUGUCUCUUGAGCACGGAGACUGAGCCUUCCCCACCUCUCUAGCCUCUAGUCCCA
rnacentral:antisense_RNA from 1 species